AAUGUGCUUGUUUUGAGGAAAUCAAUUUGUCUUAUAGAAUGUCUCUCAUUGUGGAUUUUGCUGAUUAUAUCUCCAUGGUGUUAACAUGUUCCACCCCGGAGGCUUAAUAAGAGUCAGAUUCUCAUUUUUGAUGAGAAUGUUUCUUCAGGAAGCACUCCAUGCCUGGUUACCUCUCUCUCUUUUUUAAGUAACAGCGUUAUUGAUGUACAAUUCACAUCCCAUAAAAUUUACUCUUUUAAAGUAUAUAACUCUAUGGUUUUCACCAUAUUCACAAAGUUGUACAACCAACACCAUUAUUUAAUUCCAAAAUUAGAUAGAAUUCCAUCAUCUGGGAAAGAAACCCCAUACCCAUUGGCAGUCACUCCCCAUUCUCCACCUCAACGCCCUGCAAACACUAAUCUGCUUCCUGUUACUAUGUUUUCCUAUUCUGUACAUUUCAUUUACACUUGACCCUUGAAGAAACAAGGCAGGGGUUAGGAGCACUGACGCCCCAUGCGGUUGAAACUCCAUGUAUAAGCUUUGACUCCCCCAAAACGCAACAACUAAUAGUCUACUGUUGACUGGCAUCCUUACUGAUAGCGGAAAGAGUUGCUUAACAUGUAUUUUAUUGUUAUAUGUAUUGUAUAUUGUAUUCUUAUAAUAAAGUAAGCUAGAGAAAAAAAUGUUAUUAAGAAAAUCAUAAGAGAAAAUAAGUUUAUGGUAUUGUACUGUUCAUAAAAAAAAAAUAUAUCUGUGUAGAAGUGGCCCUGCACAGUUCAAACCUGUGUUGAUCGAGGGUCAGCUGUAAUGGAAUCAGAAAGUAUGUGUGUGUGUGUUCUUUUUAAUGUUUGUUUAUUUUUGAUAGAGAAAGACAGAGUGCCAGUGAGGAAGUGGCAGAGAGAGAGGGAGACACAGAAUCUGAAGCAGGCUCCAGGCUCUGAGCUGCCAGCACAGAGCCCGACACAGGGCUCGAACCCACGAACCACGGGAUCAUGACCUGAGCUGAAGUCGGAUGCUCAACCGACUGGGCCACCCGGGUGCUCCAGGCAAGAGAGACAGAGCGUGAGCAGGGGAGGGGCAGAGAGAGAGCGAGACACAGCAUCCGAAGCAGGCUCCAGGCUCCGAGCUGUCAGCACAGAUCCCGACGCGGGGCUAGAACUCACAAACCACGAGAUCAUAACCUGAGCCAAAGUCGGACGCGUAACCGACUGAGCCACCCAGGCGCCCCCAAAUUAUUUUGUUUUAAAGUCACUUGAAAUAGCUUCUGUCUGUGUGGUAACGCCACAACUCAAUACACACAUUUUAUUUCA